rnacentral:rRNA from 1 species
GACGAACUGCCCAAACGUUGUUCGGAAUCACUGGGCUUAAAGGGCGCGUAGGCGGCGAAUCAAGUCAGGGGUGAAAUCCGGCAGCUUAACUGUCGAAGUGCCUUUGAUACUGGUUUGCUCGAGGGAGAUAGGGGUCUGUGGAACUUCUGGUGGAGCGGUGAAAUGCGUUGAUAUCAGAAGGAACGCCGGUGGCGAAAGCGACGGACUGGAUCUCUUCUGACGCUGAGGCGCGAAAGCUAGGGGGAGCAAACGGG